UUUUAUUUGAGAGUUUGAUCCUGGCUCAGGAUGAACGCUGGCGGCGUGCCUAACACAUGCAAGUUGAGCGAUUUACUUCGGUAAAGAGCGGCGGACGGGUGAGUAACGCGUGGGUAACCUACCCUGUACACACGGAUAACAUACCGAAAGGUAUGCUAAUACGGGAUAAUAUAUUUGAGAGGCAUCUCUUGAAUAUCAAAGGUGAGCCAGUACAGGAUGGACCCGCGUCUGAUUAGCUAGUUGGUAAGGUAACGGCUUACCAAGGCGACGAUCAGUAGCCGACCUGAGAGGGUGAUCGGCCACAUUGGAACUGAGACACGGUCCAAACUCCUACGGGAGGCAGCAGUGGGGAAUAUUGCACAAUGGGAGAUACCCGGAGGCAGAAACUCUGGGUGAGUGAGGAAGGCCUUCUGGUCGUAAACCUCUGUCCUCAAGGAAGAUAAUUACGGUACUUGUGGAGGAAGCCACGGCUAACUAAGUGCCAGCAGCCGCGGUAAUACGUAGGGGGCUAGCGUUAUCCGGAUUUACUGGGCGUAA
rnacentral:rRNA from 1 species